AUUGAACGCUGGCGGAAUGCUUUACACAUGCAAGUCGAACGGCAGCACGGACUUCGGUCUGGUGGCGAGUGGCGAACGGGUGAGUAAUGUAUCGGAACGUGCCCAGUCGUGGGGGAUAACGUAGUGAAAAUUACGCUAAUACCGCAUACGAUCUAUGGAUGAAAGCGGGGGAUCGCAAGACCUCGCGCGAUUGGAGCGGCCGAUAUCAGAUUAGGUAGUUGGUGGGGUAAAGGCCCACCAAGCCAACGAUCUGUAGCUGGUCUGAGAGGACGGCCAGCCACACUGGACAUGGGACACGGUCCAGACUCCUACGGGAGGCAGCAGUGGGGAAUUUUGGACAAUGGGCGAAAGCCUGAUCCAGCCAUUCCGCGUGCAGGAUGAAGGCCCUCGGGUUGUAAACUGCUUUUGUACAGAACGGAAAGGUUUCUACUAAUACUAGGAGCUCAUGACGGUACUGUAAGAAUAAGCACCGGCUAACUACGUGCCAGCCGCCGCGGUAA
rnacentral:rRNA from 1 species